CAUUUUCGCGAACAAGAGAAUUGCACACCGUAAUCGUUGAGGAGAAUUCGGUGCGGGGCAGUCCACAUAAGACGAGAGGUGCGGUGUUCGCUGGUGCAUGGUGUAUUGUGGUGCGAUAACGGCGACUCCGCGACGGACGGUCUGUCGAGAAAAUUCAAAUCGGAUGUGCGCUGGUGUCCCACUGUUUACUCACUCUGUCCACCGCAUACAGUGUUAGGCAGAUGAAAAAGAUCGUGCUAUGUAACAGGAAUAAUCGCGAAUAUACGAUAUGAUAUCGACUAACGACGAACGACGCCGUAUCGUAGCUAAGUCGCUCGGUUCUAUCGAGCGUAGUAGCUUCGUCCUCGGACAGUAAACAAAAGUGACAGCGUGUGUGGAUACCGUUCGGUCAUGCCUCCCGUCUCGUCGGUGACUGUCGACAGUAUUUGACGUGUUGUUCUUCUCGAGUCCCCGAAUUCCCUCACGUGGUUCAAGGUCUUCUAAAAUCAUCCUAACGCCACGCUGCCAACCAGACCCAGCGAGUUUCACGCCACUUUCGCGAUCGAAUGGAUCUCGAGCGUGUUGUUUCUCACUGACAGCAACAUUGACCGCGCUUUUCCCGGUUAUCGGUCGCGUUCUCGUGUCUUCUUCAAGGACUUUCGUUCCCGGAUUUUUCGACACGAAGGACAAGCAACAUCUUCACGAAGCUUCGGAAAGAAAAGAAAAGAAAAAAACAUACACCUAAAUCGGAUACAUCGUUUCCAUUACUGCAGAUUUCUUCCAGGAAAGCCAAAGUCUCCUCCCGUGUUUCGAGGGCGCUCGAAGAGGAGAGAGAUGUGCCAAGUUUCGUCGUUGCGGACGUUCCAUGUGCUUCUCGAGUUCAUCGACGCCGACCGCUUGCCGCACUGCGUCCUCUGCUAGGACCAUGUCCUAAUCCCGACGUUUUAUUCCGCGGAGCGUGAUACCAUUGCCAAACAGAACAGGAUAUAGGAUCUAUAUAUACGUAUACAGUCAGUGUGACGAAGUUAAAUGUGAUCCACGAGAUGCCGGGCCACCGCGUCAAGGACGUGCCUCGUCUUCUCGCGAGUCUUCCUGAUCGAGCAUACACGACCUCGUUCGUUGGUUGAGCAACGAACGAGAGAGAAAGAGAGACAAGACUGAUCCACCGUGUGAUGCAGCGUACAGAGGCGACGAACUUCCGUCCCGACACAAGCUGCUCGAUAUUCUCGCAAUAACGGCGAAAAAUGUUCGGCAAAGUUCCACCGUCGAACACACCAGGACCACCAGCGAGCCUCGGUGGCUCGUCCAAGUCCUGUAUCAGGCCCACUGGGACCGCCUGUUUGCCGUGUUUCUCCGUCGACGAGUCCUCAACUAUGCUCACCGAGGAGAAGUCCAAGCCUUGGAGACAAAAGGACACCUGCGUCUCUGUGGUGUCAGAGGCACCUUCUACGGGGAUAGACGAGAAGCAGAAACCAUGGAGAUCGAAGGAGAAUUGUAACUGUUCUUCUGUGAUCUCCGAACCACCUUGUAUCGCGGACGACAAGUCGAAGGCGAAGAGAGCGAAGGAAGGAUCGUGUAGUACGAACGAGUACACUACGGAGGAGAAGUCUAAAUCGUGGAGGAUGAAGGAGAACUGUAACGUGUGCGUGGUCUCCGAGCUGUCUUCCCUCGUCGAGGACAAAUCGAAAGUGAGGAGAAGCAAAGAUACCGCCGAGCAGGUAACGGAGGAUAAAUCGAAGAUUUGGAGAGUCUCGAAGGACUCGUGUACCAGUAGCGGUAGUAGUUGUACGCCUAAUUUUUCACAGUCAUCCGCCGCGUUCGUCUGUUCGAAGAACUGCUGCACGAAAUACGCGGCGAAGGAAGCGUGUUGCAGCCACGGAAGGGGUCACACGGGUCUAGGAUCAAAAACGAGCAACGUUUCAACCAGUUCAGCCACCCAUAAAUGCUCGUCGAACUCUAACUGUUCAAGCUUCGGGAAAUGUUCGAGCAGCAUGUCAGCUGGCGCGACGAAAUCUCAACGGGUACUUUGUUCCGCUAGUCUGAGCAGCUUGAACGUCGACCCCAGCUCGAGGGAGCCGUCGAAGCUCGCGAAAAAGCAUCCUGGAUUGAGUCGAGAGUUUCUCGCGGGUAAAGAGCAGCAUUUACCCGCAGGAGGAAGGUGCUCUGUGUCGCGUGAGACGCAUAGAAGCAUCGCGCAGGCGGGCAAAUCUUCCACGAGGUCUUCCGACGCAGUGUCGAACGGGAAGAGUCGACCCGUUUCAGAGUCGAGCGACGAGCUCGCAGACUCGAUGGAUUUUUCCACGAUUUCUGUCAUCCAGUCGACUGGUGAAUCCUGUCAGAAAUCGUCUACCAAGCCUUCCUCUUCUUCUUCUUCUUCUUCCUCUUCUUCUUCGUACAGUCAAGAGGACAAAGAUACCGUGGAUUCGGUGGUGGUUUCUGUACCAUCUUCGUCGAGUAGCUGCGAACGAAAUUGCAGAGGAGACUUCGCCACAUCCACACCGUCCAAGGACUGGAUGAAAAAUACUGGCGACGCGUUGCAGCAGAGUUGCAUUUCCUGUCUGCCGCAAGAUCUUCCAACAGAGCUACAGUUGUCUUCGCCUAGGAGUUAUAGAGAACGGGAAAAGUGCCGUGAUCCAUGGCGACCCACCGAAAUGGAAAGCAAUAUCUGCAACCUGAAUGUGUGUCCUGGUGAUACGUAUCAGGAUACCGGUACGAAAAGGAGGACAGGUGCUUCCUGCCAGGCGUUGAGGCAUGCUGUUGCGUCGUUGAACCGAUUGGAUGACUUUUACAUGGAGAAGAUCGGGGCCGGAUUUUUCUCGGAGGUCUUCAAGGUUACUCACAAAGUGACGAGUCAGGUGAUGGUCCUGAAGAUGAACCAGCUGCCCGCAAACAGGCCAAACAUGCUGAAGGAGGUUCAGCUGAUGAACAAGCUCAGCCAUCCGAACAUACUCAGGUUCAUGGGAGUGUGCGUGCACGAGGGUCAACUGCACGCCCUGACCGAGUACAUAAACGGCGGUAGCCUGGAGCAGCUGAUCCUGUCGAGGUCUACGCCGCUUCCUCAUUUGAUCAGGAUGAACCUGGCGAGGGACGUUGCCAGAGGGAUGACCUAUCUUCACAGCCGUGGACUCUUUCAUCGGGACUUGACGUCGAAGAACGUGUUGAUUAAAAAAGACGAGAACACGUCGGAGUUGACCGCUGUGGUCGGUGAUUUUGGCUUGGCAGCUAAGAUCCCCGAUCCGAGCUCAGGCUACAGACUGAGCACGGUGGGCAGUCCUUAUUGGAUGUCGCCGGAGUGUUUGAAGGGUCAGUGGUACGAUCACAGGUCGGACAUAUUCUCGUUCGGCAUCGUGGUCUGCGAGCUGAUCGGCCGCGUGCCCGCCGAUCCGGACGUUCUGCCACGGUCAGAUAACUUUGGCCUCGAUUACAUGGCCGUGGCAGAGAUCUGCGCGGCAGCUGAUCCACCGGCUUUUCUGCAGCUCGCCUUUCAUUGUUGCACGUACGAGCCAAAAUCGAGACCGACCUUCCCGGAGAUCACCUCCAGGCUAGAGACUAUGAUCAGCAACUACGAGGAGGAGACGAAGAACAACAUAGGCAAGCGUCAGUCUGUCGAUCCUGCUCUGAUGUCCAGCAUGGACGAGAUCACUCGGGAACCACGGUCUACGAAACGAAAGACUGCUCGUCUCCGGAGUCAAUCGGCGGACGCGAGAGGCUGCGACAACGCGACACCUUCCGACAAGGCGAGGUGUCAUUCCGCGAGGAGAGUGGCUGAGUUAGCUAGCAGAAGGGAUCCACACUACAGGCCAAUGACGGCGAAUCCUUUCCACGCGCUCGGCGGCGUGAAGAAAAUUCUCGGGGACCUGUUCUCCAGUUGUUUGGAGCUUCCGUCGCUGGAGGAUGUCAGGCCGAGUGUUACAGAUGCCAUCUCGAAGAUGAAGCCGGCGCAGAACGACAGCAUCGCGAAGAUCUUGGACAGGAAGAAGCCUAACUCGGAGCCGAGCAGUCCUACCGCCAGGAAAAAAUGGGAGAGAAAGGUUGCCACGAAGGUAGGCGCCGCCUGCUUGUUCACUCAUCCGCUUUUCCGGGACGGAUGGGAGCCAAGAAGGCGCGGCAGCUGCGAAUCUGGCUUUUGGAGCUGCGUCGGCGAGGAUCUCAGCCCGGAGCCGCCCAAUCGUCGACACACCUCUACUCUGAGCAGCUCCGCUGCGAGUAGCCUCUUCCUCUUGGACGAUCAUCGAACAAGCUCGAUCUACACCGACUCGUCCGAGGAUAUCGCGAGCUUAGGCGGCGGUGACUCCUGUUGGGAGGAUAGAUUAAGCGGCAUCGGGUCUUCCAGUAAAACUAUAUCCAAGAUCGUCGAGUACUUCGAGAGGAAGCAAGCCGGCAGCUUACGUCUCGCGGAUCACGAUGCCGGUUCUAGUAGAUUAACGUUGUUGAAGGCAAGCUUAGAGGGUCCUGUACCGUUGUGCAGCAUCUCAGCGGCGCAGAGGUUAGUCGUUUGCGAGGGUGCAGUGCGCAGCAAAUUGCCCCUGUUUGACAAAAAGUGAUACGCGUCACUUGCACGUCGUAGAAUUCGUUCCUUUAGGUCGUUUCUUGGUUUUCUGCCGAUAUUUCUGGGCCGCGCGACCACGAGACGCGCGGAGGCGCCUGCACGAAGAAGAAACGCUUCGACGUGAGUUGUUCCGCGACGAGAGCGAGAUGUGUGACAGAGGGAUGUUGAAGGGGAAGGGCAGCGAUUGGAAAAACUCCGUUCAGUCGAUAAGGAAAGUAGGGUCGAACGAUGAUGAAUAUGGUCGCGCGAGAAGGAAAAGCUUGGAUGGAAUGGAAGAACGAUUAUAUUUUUAUCGAACUUGGCGAAGAAGAGAGAGAGAGGGAGGAGCGGGGAUGAUAUUGUGUACGAGAGACGACGGGAGGCGACUUGCGGUACGGAGUUCGGUGAAAAUAUAGUCAAAUACGCCAGAGAGUACACACACGUCAAUAGUAUUUCGCGCGGAAAUAGAACGUUUCUUGCGUUGUAGUUUCGGGGAUACUUAAGGAUUUUUCAAGCGCCGAUUACACGAUUUAGAAGAAAACAAGAAAAUUCAUGAAAAAUAAUUUAAAAAAAAGAGAAGCAAAACUUAACGUUUCAACGGGAUUGAAAGAGAGGAACGACAGAAAAAGUUUCAGUUUCGAGACUGCGGCAAUCGAAUGCCAGUAGAAAACGCUGCUCAUGUUCUUACCUUUUGCAGUGCCUCGCAGUUCCUAGUUAGCCACCUCCGUCCUUUAUCCACGUCAACCGACUUUUUACCGAUCACUGUGACACCACGAUCAUGGAGAAAUCGAAAGGUGAAUUUUACCGGUUGUAUAUUCAGCUCUACGUUCGAAAACGAUUUUUUAAUGCGUUACUGUUCCCAAACAAUCGUCUCCUCUUUGCUUGGUUCGUGUUUCUACGCGUUACUUUUACGGCGCCGGAUAUCGGAGUUGACAUUGUUCACGAGACUCUUGCGAUAUAGAAACGAGAGGAUGUCGAGGUAGACACCCGAAAAUUACGACGAUGUACACACAACGGAAGG
rnacentral:misc_RNA from 1 species